UUUUUUUUUUUAAUUAAACUAGGCAAACUUAAAUAUUUGUCUCUUAAUGUAAAAAGUUUUUCUUACCCCAGUUCACUAAAUACAUCAAACUUAUGACAUUUCCAAACAUAUAUUGCUUAGAGCUCAACUUUGACACACACUUUAGGCUUCUUGGAAUUUCAGAAAAAUUCUUUUUAAGCUUUCCUUUGCUCAAUGAUGCUAAUGCGCUAAUUACGAUUCUUGCAUUUCUCCAUGGCCCUAGGAGCAAGCCCAAUAGCCUCUGAACCUUUCAU
rnacentral:misc_RNA from 1 species